rnacentral:snRNA from 1 species
GUGCUCACUUUGGCAGCACAUAUACUUAAAUUGGAAUGAUACAAAGAAGAUUAGCAUGGCCCCUGCUCAAGGAUGACAUGCAAAUUGGUAAAGCAUUUCAUGUUUUU